AAGUUGAUAGCUCAGUGGUAGAGUGCAUGCCCUGUAUGUAUGAUGUCAUGGGUUCAAUCCCCAGCUUCUUCCCA
rnacentral:tRNA from 1 species